rnacentral:rRNA from 1 species
GCUACUUUGGUGACGAGCGGCGGACGGGUGAGUAAUGCUUGGGAACAUGCCUUGAGGUGGGGGACAACAGUUGGAAACGACUGCUAAUACCGCAUAAUGUCUACGGACCAAAGGGGGCUUCGGCUCUCGCCUUUAGAUUGGCCCAAGUGGGAUUAGCUAGUUGGUGAGGUAAUGGCUCACCAAGGCGACGAUCCCUAGCUGGUUUGAGAGGAUGAUCAGCCACACUGGGACUGAGACACGGCCCAGACUCCUACGGGAGGCAGCAGUGGGGAAUAUUGCACAAUGGGCGCAAGCCUGAUGCAGCCAUGCCGCGUGUGUGAAGAAGGCCUUCGGGUUGUAAAGCACUUUCAGUCAGGAGGAAAGGUUAGUAGUUAAUACCUGCUAGCUGUGACGUUACUGACAGAAGAAGCACCGGCUAACUCCGUGCCAGCAGCCGCGGUAAUACGGAGGGUGCGAGCGUUAAUCGGAAUUACUGGGCGUAAAGCGUACGCAGGCGGUUUGUUAAGCGAGAUGUGAAAGCCCCGGGCUCAACCUGGGAACUGCAUUUCGAACUGGCAAACUAGAGUGUGAUAGAGGGUGGUAGAAUUUCAGGUGUAGCGGUGAAAUGCGUAGAGAUCUG